GCCCUCUCAGGGUCACACCUGGAGAGUUUCCAGUACUCUACCAGUCACAACUAGAGGAGGGAGAGUCAAGCAGAGGCAUACCACUUCCAUUCCUAGCUUGAGCAGUGGCUAGUGCACGGAAGGGAUUCUGCUACAAGU